GACGAACCGUGCGAACGUUGUUCGGAAUUACUGGGCGUAAAGGGCUCGUAGGCGGCCAACUAAGUCAUACGUGAAAUCCCUCAGCUUAACUGGGGAACUGCGUGUGAUACUGGAUGGCUUGGAUUUGGGAGAGGGAUGCGGAAUUCCAGGUGUAGCGGUGAAAUGCGUAGAUAUCUGGAGGAACACCGGUGGCGAAGGCGGCAUCCUGGACCAAUAUUGACGCUGAGGAGCGAAAGCCAGGGGAGCAAACGGG
rnacentral:rRNA from 1 species